GAUGGAUCCCAUUAUCCAGGCUUUCUGCAAUAGAGCUCUCAGUUCCGGUAGCAUGUUCUUGCUGUUGCAAUUCAUCACAAGACUGAGGAGCAUUAAGUUUUGACAACAGGUUUAUGGCUUCAUCAACAGCAACACUAGCAGCAUAAAGCCCCAACUUCUUCACCUCCAAUAUAUCUUCCUUAGAUCGGUGGCCUUUGGGUAGCAAGCGAAACUCCUCCGUCAAGCGAAUACACU
rnacentral:misc_RNA from 1 species